rnacentral:rRNA from 1 species
CCUACGGGAGGCAGCAGUGAGGAAUAUUGGUCAAUGGGCGCGAGCCUGAACCAGCCAAGUCGCGUGAAGGAUGACUGCCCUACGGGUUGUAAACUUCUUUUGUAAAGGAAUAAAGUGCGGCACGUGUGCCUUUUUGUAUGUACUUUAUGAAUAAGGAUCGGCUAACUCCGUGCCAGCAGCCGCGGUAAUACGGAGGAUCCGAGCGUUAUCCGGAUUUAUUGGGUUUAAAGGGAGCGUAGAUGGGUGGUUGAGUCCGGUGUGAAAGUGUGGGGAUCAACCGUAAAAUUGCAAUUGAAACUGGCAGUCUUGAGUACAGUUGAGGUAGGCGGAAUUCGUUGUGUAGCGGUGAAAUGCUUAGAUAUCACGAAGAACUCCGAUUGCGAAGGCAGCUUACUAAACUGCCACUGACAUUGAUGCUCGAAAGUGUGGGUAUCAAACAGGAUUAGAUACCCGUGUAGUC